CUUGAAAUUGUCUUUGGAACGAUUGGUUCUAGUCAGUUCAUGUUAGUUUUAUAUUGAUGAUUCUCAAAUGAUAGGUUAUAUGGUAUUUGUGCCCUGCUAUGAUGUUGAAAGAUGGGAACUCAGUGUCAUGAUUGAGUCAAUUUUGAGAAUGGAUCAUGUUUUUAUCGUUAGGUUAAGUACUAGCCAAUAUGCAUGCUUACUCUUAUUGGAGAAUUGGUGAUGAUUCAUAGAGGAACAUGUUCUUUUUUUCUGCUUCAAUGAUUUUUUCUUGCUAAUUGGAGUUGUGGUGACACAUUUUUGUGGGGUUUGAACGAUUAAGAGAUAAUGUUCUGAAUGCUUAUAUGUAGUUUCUUUGGGAGGAUUAUAGGAUCUUGAAUUCCUGAGUUUGCAAUGUAUACAGGAUUCAUCGAUGCGAUUAAUUUGUAACCACUCAGGAUUUCUAGUGAUAUGAGACAAGUAAUUUUUGGUGGGGUUUGUCUUUCUGCAUUAUUUCAUCAUCUGUUACUCUCCACUUUAUUCUAUGCAUUCUUCACAGAUCAAUUAUUUUCAUAGGAAAGGAAAUUAUCUAAGGAAAUGUUUUCUUUUGCUUAAAUGUGGAAGUUAUAUAUGCUGAAAAUGGGUCGUAAAGAAAUGACACUAAAGCGACUACAAAACAGAGGAGGAAAAUACAGGGGAUUCAAAGAAAACAGAGCAAACUCUUAGCAACGUCGCAUCUUCUCCGAACGCAUCCGCAAGCCGUGUAGCUUUGUCAAUCAAUAUCUAAGGAAAUGUUAGGUAUCAAGAAG